rnacentral:rRNA from 1 species
AUUGAACGCUGGCGGCAGGCCUAACACAUGCAAGUCGAACGGUAGCACAGAGAGCUUGCUCUCGGGUGACGAGUGGCGGACGGGUGAGUAAUGUCUGGGAAACUGCCCGAUGGAGGGGGAUAACUACUGGAAACGGUAGCUAAUACCGCAUAACGUCGCAAGACCAAAGUGGGGGACCUUCGGGCCUCACACCAUCGGAUGUGCCCAGAUGGGAUUAGCUAGUAGGUGGGGUAAUGGCUCACCUAGGCGACGAUCCCUAGCUGGUCUGAGAGGAUGACCAGCCACACUGGAACUGAGACACGGUCCAGACUCCUACGGGAGGCAGCAGUGGGGAAUAUUGCACAAUGGGCGCAAGCCUGAUGCAGCCACGCCGCGUGUAUGAAGAAGGCCUUCGGGUUGUAAUGUACUUUCAGCGGGGAGGAAGGCGGUGAAGUUAAUAACUUCACCGAUUGACGUUACCCGCAGAAGAAGCACCGGCUAACUCCGUGCCAGCCGCCGCCGUAA